rnacentral:rRNA from 1 species
AUUGAACGCUGGCGGCAUGCUUUACACAUGCAAGUCGAACGGUAACAGGCCGCAAGGUGCUGACGAGUGGCGAACGGGGGGGUAAUGCAUCGGAACGUGCCCAGUCGUGGGGGAUAACUACUCGAAAGAGUAGCUAAUACCGCAUACGAUCUAUGGAUGAAAGCGGGGAACGGCAGGCCUUGGGUGGAUUGGAUGGGCGGUGUCAAGACUGGUAGGUGGUGGGGUAAAGGCUGACCAAGGCAACGGUCCGUAACCGGUUUGAGAGGAAGACCGGCCACACUGGGACUGAGACACGGCCCAGACUCCUACGGGAGGCAGCAGUGGGGAAUUUUGGACAAUGGGCGCAAGCCUGAUCCAGCAAUGCCGCGUGCAGGAAGAAGGCCUUCGGGUUGUAAACUGCUUUUGUACGGAACGAAACGGCUCUGGUUAAUACCCGGGGCUAAUGACGGUACCGUAAGAAUAAGCACCGGCUAACUACGUG